AUUGAACGCUGGCGGCAGGCCUAACACAUGCAAGUCGAGCGAGCGGCGGACGGGUGAGUAAUGUCUGGGAACCUGCCUGAUGGAGGGGGAUAACUACUGGAAACGGUAGCUAAUACCGCAUACCAUCAGAUGUGCCCAGAUGGGAUUAGCUCGUAGGUGGGGUAAUGGCUCACCUAGGCGACGAUCCCUAGCUGGUCUGAGAGGAUGACCAGCCACACGGGAACUGAGACACGGUCCAGAUUCCUCCGGGAGGAAGCAGUGGGGAAUAUUGGACAAGGGGCGCAAGCCUGAUGCAGCCAGGCGGCGGGUGUGAAGAAGGCCUUCGGGUUGUAAAGCACUUUCAGCGGGGAGGCGUUACCCGCAGAAGAAGCACCGGCUAACUCCGUGCCAGCAGCCGCGGUAAUUC
rnacentral:rRNA from 1 species